rnacentral:rRNA from 1 species
GAUCAUGGCUCAGGAUGAACGCUGGCGGCGUGCUUAACACAUGCAAGUCGAACGGGGUUUAUACGGAAAGCGUCUUCGGACACCGGAAGUAUAAACUUAGUGGCGGACGGGUGAGUAACGCGUGGGUAACCUGCCUUAUACAAGGGGAUAACAGAGGGAAACUUCUGCUAAUACCGUAUAAAAAUAUUUUACGCAUGUGAGAUAUUUGAAAGAUUUAUCAGUAUAAGAUGGACCCGCGUCUGAUUAGGUAGUUGGUGAGG